rnacentral:rRNA from 1 species
UCAAAAACAUGGUCUUUUGUUUAUAUAAAAGAUCUGGCCUGCCCAAUGAUAUUUUUAAUGGCUGCAGUAUUUUGACUGUACAAAGGUAGCAUAAUCAUUUGUCUUUUAAAUGGAGUCUGGAAUGAAUGGUUGGAUGAAGGGUCUACUUUCUUUAUUUUAAAAAUAAAAUUUAAUUUUUAAUUUAAAAAGCUUAAAUAGUAAUAUAGGACGAGAAGACCCUAUAGAACUUUAUUUAUAAAAUUUGUUUAUUAGUUUGUGAAUUAUAAAUAUACAACUUUUUAUAAAUUGUGUUGGGGUGAUAAAAAAAAUUUAUUAACUUUUUUUACUUUAGGCAUUUAUAUAUGAAUUUUUGAUCCUUUAUUAAGGAAUAUAAGAUUAAGUUACCUUAGGGAUAACAGCGUUAUUAUUUUGGAGAGUUCUUAUCGAUAAAAUAGUUUGCGACCUCGAUGUUGGAUUAAAAUUAGCCCUAGGAGUAGAAGAUUGGUGGCUAAGUCUGUUCGACUUUUAAAUUUUUACAUGAUCU